GCGUUGUGCUCCUGGUAGCGUUGUGCUCCUGGUAGUGUUGUGUUCCUGGUAGCGUUGUGCUCCUGGUAGCGUUGUGCUCCUGGUAGCGUUGUGCUCCUGGUAGCGUUGUGCUCCUGGUAGCGUUGUGCUCCUAAUAGCGUUGUGCUCCUGGUAGCGUUGUGCUCCUUGUAGCGUUGUGCUCCUGAUAGCGUUGUGCUCCUGGUAGUGUUGUGUUCCUGGUAGCGUUGUGCUCCUGGUAGCGUUGUGCUCCUGGUGCUGUUGUGCUCCUGGUAGAGUUGUGUUCCUGGCAAAAGUGCUCCUAAUAGCGUUGUGCUCCUGGUAGUGUUCUGCUCCUGGUAGCCGUGUGCUCCUGGUAGCGUUGUGCUCCUGGUAGCGUUGUGCUCCUGGUAGUGUUGUGCUCCUAGGGAAGCUUAAUUUCAUAUCCUGUCAAGGCCAGUGCAUAGCUGGCCAUCAGCUUUCAGGUUGAGUACAGAUGUGCCCAGAUGUCUCUGGAACAUGGACUGCAUCUGUAAUCACACCCUAUUCCCUAUAUAGCGCACUACAUUAGACCAGGACCCAUAUUGCUCUGGUCAAAAAGUAGUGCACUAUAUAGGGAAUAGAUGCACCCAUGGGCUACAUUUGAAAUGGCACCCUAUUCCC
ensembl:lncRNA